rnacentral:lncRNA from 1 species
AGCUCUGUGGAGCAGCACUUGUUAUGUGGCUAUGUCUACACGUUAUUUACCAGGUUUCAGCAUGCUCACUGUGAAUGUCCUGGCUCAGUUUGAUGGUUCUUGAUGUCUUGGAUCCCACAGGAAGCUUGCAUGCACAAAGAGAAAGGGGACCACGAUGGUUUCAGCUGGGAACAGCAAAUGUGCACUUGGUACUAAAAUUUCAGAAAUGAGAUCAUCCUGGUUGUGGUUACAAUGCUGCAGGGACAUCAGGCCCAUCAGCUUUGUGGGCUGGGUUUAGCACGUUGGUGCAGAAGUCUGAGAAAGGGGCGAAUACAGCACAGGGACCCUUGCAGACGUGCCCGAGGCUCACUGAUGAAACACAGCAAAUGAAGCAUUUCCUGAAGAGGCAGGUAUUGGCAUUCCACUUAUUAAUGUUACUUAACCCUGAUGGUUCUCACUGCCUUCGUUUGCUGCACAUGGCGGGUUAACAAGAUUGUAUGUCACGCUGUUAUGCUAAAUAGUGGUGCCGUGGGGCUAACUCGUUGACGUCUGCCUUUCUCAGUGAGCUGGCCAUGAUGCCACCAUAUGGGAUUCCUGUCCAGACAGCCAAAGGCAGCCUGAGCUGAUCAGCAUGCCAGCAAAUCCCUCUGGUGAUAUUUGGUCUUCCCGAGCCCAAAUCUUUUUGGGCUGAUUUCUCUGUCUGUCACCACGAAGGACAGAUAUUGCUGUGAGAACAGAUUGAUCAAGUGAUAGAAAAUUUCUGGAAGGUGCUUUUUUAACUCGAUACCAAAAAUUAGCAAGGAUGCACGUUUAUUUCUCAGUCGUAAUGCCCGUAUCUGAAC